rnacentral:rRNA from 1 species
GAUGAACGCUGGCGGCGUGCCUAAUACAUGCAAGUCGAACGCUGAAGGAGGAGCUUGCUCUUCUGGAUGAGUUGCGAACGGGUGAGUAACGCGUAGGUAACCUGCCUGGUAGCGGGGGAUAACUAUUGGAAACGAUAGCUAAUACCGCAUGACAACAGUUAUUGCAUGAUAACUGUUUAAAAGGGGCAACUGCUCCACUACCAGAUGGACCUGCGUUGUAUUAGCUAGUUGGUGAGGUAACGGCUCAACAAGGCGACGAUACAUAGCCGACCUGAGAGGGUGAUCGGCCAAACUGGGACUGGGACACGGCCCAGAACCCUACGGGAGGGAGCAGGAGGGGAUUAUCGGCAAUGGGCGGAAGUCUGACCGAAGAACGCCGCGGGAGUUAAGAAAGGUUUCGGAUUGCAAAGGUCUGUUUUUAGGGAAGAACGAGUGUGAGAGUGGAACGUUCACACUGUGACGGUACCUUAAGAGAAAGGGACGGCUAACUACGUG